UACAGAGGUCUCAAGCGUUGUUCGGAUUCAUUGGGCGUAAAGGGUGCGUAGGUGGCGCUGUAAGUCAGGUGUGAAAUUUCGGAGCUCAACUUCGAAACUGCAUUUGAUACUGCGGUGCUUGAGGACUGGAGAGGAGACUGGAAUUUACGGUGUAGCAGUGAAAUGCGUAGAGAUCGUAAGGAAGACCAGUGGCGAAGGCGGGUCUCUGGACAGUUCCUGACACUGAGGCACGAAGGCCAGGGGAGCAAACAGG
rnacentral:rRNA from 1 species